AGAGUUUGAUCCUGGCUCAGAGUGAACGCUGGCGGCAGGCCUAACACAUGCAAGUCGAACGGCAGCACAGCAGUAGCAAUACUGUGGGUGGCGAGUGGCGGACGGGUGAGGAAUGCGUCGGAAUCUGCCUAUUUGUGGGGGAUAACGUAGGGAAACUUACGCUAAUACCGCAUACGACCUACGGGUGAAAGUGGGGGACCUUCGGGCCUCACGCAGAUAGAUGAGCCGACGCCGGAUUAGCUAGUUGGCGGGGUAAAGGCCCACCAAGGCGACGAUCCGUAGCUGGUCUGAGAGGAUGAUCAGCCACACUGGGACUGAGACACGGCCCAGACUCCUACGGGAGGCAGCAGUGGGGAAUAUUGGACAAUGGGCGCAAGCCUGAUCCAGCCAUGCCGCGUGUGUGAAGAAGGCCUUCGGGUUGUAAAGCACUUUUGUCCGGAAAGAAAAGCUUCGGGUUAAUAACCUGGAGUCAUGACGGUACCGG
rnacentral:rRNA from 1 species